GUGGGGAAUCUUGCGCAAUGGGCGAAAGCCUGACGCAGCCAUGCCGCGUGAAUGAUGAAGGUCUUAGGAUUGUAAAAUUCUUUCACCGGGGACGAUAAUAACGGUACCCGGAGAAGAAGCUCCGGCUAACUUCGUGCCAGCAGCCGCGGUAAUACGAAGGGGGCUAGCGUUGCUCGGAAUUACUGGGCGUAAAGGGCGCGUAGGCGGACAGCUUAGUCAGAGGUGAAAGCCCAGGGCUCAACCUUGGAAUUGCCUUUGAUACUGGCUGUCUUGAGUUUGGGAGAGGUGAGUGGAACUCCGAGUGUAGAGGUGAAAUUCGUAGAUAUUCGGAAGAACACCAGUGGCGAAGGCGACUCACUGGCCCAAUACUGACGCUGAGGCGCGAAAGCGUGGGGAGCAAACAGGAUUAGAUACCCGAGUAGUCC
rnacentral:rRNA from 1 species